AGACCCGAAACCCGGUGAUCUAGCCAUGGGCAGGUUGAAGGUUGGGUAACACUAACUGGAGGACCGAACCGACUAAUGUUGAAAAAUUAGCGGAUGACCUGUGGCUGGGGGUGAAAGGCCAAUCAAACCGGGAGAUAGCUGGUUCUCCCCGAAAGCUAUUUAGGUAGCGCCUCGUGAAUUCAUCUCCGGGGGUAGAGCACUGUUUCGGCCAGGGGGCCAUCCCGGCUUACCAAUCCGAUGCAAACUGCGAAUACCGGAGAAUGUUAUCACGGGAGACACACGGCGGGUGCUAACGUCCGUCGUGAAGAGGGAAACAACCCAGACCGCCAGCUAAGGUCCCAAAGUCAUGGUUAAGUGGGAAACGAUGUGGGAAGGCCCAGACAGCCAGGAUGUUGGCUUAGAAGCAGCCAUCAUUUAAAGAAAGCGUAAUAGCUCACUGGUCGAGUCGGCCUGCGCGGAAGAUGUAACGGGGCUAAACCAUGCACCGAAGCUGCGGCAGCGACACUGAUGUGUUGUUGGGUAGGGGAGCGUUCUGUAAGCCGUUGAAGGUGUGUCGUGAGGCAUGCUGGAGGUAUCAGAAGUGCGAAUGCUGACAUAAGUAACGAUAAAGCGGGUGAAAAGCCCGCUCGCCGGAAGACCAAGGGUUCCUGUCCAACGUUAAUCGGGGCAGGGUGAGUCGACCCCUAAGGCGAGGCCGAAAGGCGUAGUCGAUGGGAAACGGGUUAAUAUUCCCGUACUUGGUGUUACUGCGAAGGGGGGACGGAGAAGGCUAUGUUGGCCGGGCGACGGUUGUCCCGGUUUAAGCGUGUAGGUGUGUGUUCCAGGUAAAUCCGGUUCACUUUAACACUGAGGCGUGACGACGAGGCACUACGGUGCUGAAGCAACAAAUGCCCUGCUUCCAGGAAAAGCCUCUAAGCCUCAGGUAACAUCAAAUCGUACCCCAAACCGACACAGGUGGUCAGGUAGAGAAUACCAAGGCGCUUGAGAGAACUCGGGUGAAGGAACUAGGCAAAAUGGUGCCGUAACUUCGGGAGAAGGCACGCUGACACGUAGGUGAAGUGGUUUACCCAUGGAGCUGAAGUCAGUCGAAGAUACCAGCUGGCUGCAACUGUUUAUUAAAAACACAGCACUGUGCAAACACGAAAGUGGACGUAUACGGUGUGACGCCUGCCCGGUGCCGGAAGGUUAAUUGAUGGGGUCAGCGCAAGCGAAGCUCCUGAUCGAAGCCCCGGUAAACGGCGGCCGUAACUAUAACGGUCCUAAGGUAGCGAAAUUCCUUGUCGGGUAAGUUCCGACCUGCACGAAUGGCGUAAUGAUGGCCAGGCUGUCUCCACCCGGGACUCAGUGAAAUUGAACUCGCUGUGAAGAUGCAGUGUACCCGCGGCAAGACGGAAAGACCCCGUGAACCUUUACUAUAGCUUGACACUGAACACUGGUCCUUGAUGUGCAGGAUAGGUGGGAGGCUUUGAAGUGUGGACGCCAGUCUGCAUGGAGCCAUCCUUGAAAUACCACCCUUUAAUGGCUGGUGUUCUAACGUGGGCCCGUGAACCGGGUUGCGGACAGUGUCUGGUGGGUAGUUUGACUGGGGCGGUCUCCUCCUAAAGAGUAACGGAGGAGCACGAAGGUUGGCUAAUCCUGGUCGGACAUCAGGAGGUUAGUGCAAUGGCAUAAGCCAGCUUGACUGCGAGCGUGACGGCGCGAGCAGGUGCGAAAGCAGGUCAUAGUGAUCCGGUGGUUCUGAAUGGAAGGGCCAUCGCUCAACGGAUAAAAGGUACUCCGGGGAUAACAGGCUGAUACCGCCCAAGAGUUCAUAUCGACGGCGGUGUUUGGCACCUCGAUGUCGGCUCAUCACAUCCUGGGGCUGAAGUAGGUCCCAAGGGUAUGGCUGUUCGCCAUUUAAAGUGGUACGCGAGCUGGGUUUAGAACGUCGUGAGACAGUUCGGUCCCUAUCUGCCGUGGGCGCUGGAAGAUUGAGGGGGGCUGCUCCUAGUACGAGAGGACCGGAGUGGACGCAUCACUGGUGUUCGGGUUGUCAUGCCAAUGGCACUGCCCGGUAGCUACAUGCGGAAGAGAUAAGUGCUGAAAGCAUCUAAGCACGAAACUUGCCCCGAGAUGAAUCUUCCCUGAGCCUUUAAGGCUCCUGAAGGAACGUUGAAGACGACGACGUUGAUAGGCCGGGUGUGUAAGCGCAGCGAUGCGUUGAGCUAACCGGUACUAAUGAACCGUGAGGCUUAACCUUACAAC
rnacentral:rRNA from 1 species